AGCCUUCCUAGAUCCCCUCCACUCGAUUUCUCUCUUUGCAGCAGCACCGGCAGCACCAGUGUGUGAGGGGAGCAGGCAGCGCUCCCAGCCAGUUCCUUGAUCCUGCCAGACCACCCAGCCCCCGGCACAGAGCUGCUCCACAGGCACCAUGAGGAUCAUGCUGCUAUUCACAGCCAUCCUGGCCUUCAGCCUAGCUCAGAGCUUUGGGGCUGUCUGUAAGGAGCCACAGGAGGAGGUGGUUCCUGGCGGGGGCCGCAGCAAGAGGGAUCCGGAUCUCUACCAGCUGCUCCAGAGACUCUUCAAAAGCCACUCAUCUCUGGAGGGAUUGCUCAAAGCCCUGAGCCAGGCUAGCACAGAUCCUAAGGAAUCAACAUCUCCCGAGAAACGUGACAUGCAUGACUUCUUUGUGGGACUUAUGGGCAAGAGGAGCGUCCAGCCAGAGGGAAAGACAGGACCUUUCUUACCUUCAGUGAGGGUUCCUUGACCCCUUCAUCCCAAUCAGCUUGGAUCCACAGGAAAGCUUUCCCUGGGAACAGAGGAGCAGAGACCGUUAUAAUACUCUCUUACUGAUGUCAAUCAAGAGAACGUCCCCAGCUUUGGCAUCCUCAAGUAUCCCCCGAGAGCAGAAUGAGGUAUUAAAGCUCAUAGAUUUGCCCUGAAAUAUACUGCCGGUGCCUAGCACACUGUCAGUCAAACACAAAGACACUUAGAGGCACAUGUGUUUGUACACAUCCUCCCGUCUUUCAUCUCUUUCCUCUGGAUCAUGGACCGCAGCUGACUAUUGAGCAGGAUACUCCACUUCCGGACUCCUGCACUGCAUCAGGAAGACCUCUUUCCCUGUCCCAAUCCCCAGGUGCGCACGCUCCUGUUACCCUUUCUCUUCCCCGUUCUUGUAACAUUCUUGUGCUUUGACUCCUUCUCCAUCUUUUCUACCUGACCCUGGUGUGGAAACUGCAUAGUGAAUAUCCCCAAUCCCAAUGGGCAUUGACUGUAGAAUCUCCUAGAGUUCCUGUAGUGUCCUACAUUAAAAAUAUAAUGUCUCUCUCUACUCCUCAACAAUAAAGGAUUUUUUGCAUAU